rnacentral:lncRNA from 1 species
UUCUUGAAAUACAAUAGCAAGUCUAAUUAUCUGUUUUUAGAAUUGGUGUUCGAAAUCAUGAUUUCUGAGUGAACUUCAAUGGAGCAUAAAAUCUUGGAGGAAACAUUGAUAUCAAUCUAAUGACAUUCCAUAGGAAUAAAAAUCCAAUGGGAUCCAGUUCUUAGCAGUCCCAGCCUAUUCAGAAGUACAAAGUCAAAUACCAUUUGCACAUCACCAAGAGGUACAAUCUGAUGAGUAACAGGAUAUCUGAUCUAAAAGCUUGCCAGGUUUCACAGGCUGUUUGAGUAUCACCAGGGCAGAUCAAGAAGAAAUAUGAAGGCCAGGUUCAUAACAAGCAGUUGCUUUAUUGCAAUUACAGAUUUAAA